rnacentral:rRNA from 1 species
AGCAGUCGCGGUAAUUCCAGCUCCAAUAGCGUAUAUUAAAGUUGUUGCAGUUAAAAAGCUCGUAGUUGAAUUUCGGGAUCAAUAUGUUGGUCGUGCCUUGGUACGUACUGGCAUUAUCGAUUCCUACCUUCUGAAGAACCUCGAUGUCAUUAAUUUGGUGUCUUGGGGAAUCAGGACUGUUACUUUGAAAAAUUAGAGUGUUUAAAGCAGGCUCGCGCUUGAAUACAUUAGCAUGGAAUAAUGAAAUAGGACGUUUGAUUCUAUUUUGUUGGUUUCUAGGAUCGACGUAAUGAUUAAUAGGGAUAGUUGGGGGCAUUAGUAUUCAAUUGUCAGAGGUGAAAUUCUUGGAUUUAUUGAAGACUAACUACUGCGAAAGCAUUUGCCAAGGAUGUUUUCAUUAAUCAAGAACGAAAGUUAGGGGAUCGAAGACGAUCAGAUACCGUCGUAGUCUUAACCAUAAACUAUGCCGACUAGGGAUCGGAUGAUGUUUAAUUUUUAAUGACUCA